CAGCAGUAGCCACGGUAAUACGGAGGGUGCAAGCGUUAUCCGGAUUUAUUGGGUUUAAAGGGUCCGUAGGCGGAUCUGUAAGUCAGUGGUGAAAUCUCACAGCUUAACUGUGAAACUGCCAUUGAUACUGCAGGUCUUGAGUAAAUUUGAAGUGGCUGGAAUAAGUAGUGUAGCGGUGAAAUGCAUAGAUAUUACUUAGAACACCAAUUGCGAAGGCAGGUCACUAAGAUUUAACUGACGCUGAUGGACGAAAGCGUGGGGAGCGAACAGGAUUAGAUACCCGCGUAGUCCCUGUCUCUUAUAA
rnacentral:rRNA from 1 species